GUGCCAGCAGCCGCGGUAAUACGUAGGUGGCAAGCGUUAUCCGGAAUUAUUGGGCGUAAAGCGCGCGUAGGCGGUUUUUUAAGUCUGAUGUGAAAGCCCACGGCUCAACCGUGGAGGGUCAUUGGAAACUGGAAAACUUGAGUGCAGAAGAGGAAAGUGGAAUUCCAUGUGUAGCGGUGAAAUGCGCAGAGAUAUGGAGGAACACCAGUGGCGAAGGCGACUUUCUGGUCUGUAACUGACGCUGAUGUGCGAAAGCGUGGGGAUCAAAC
rnacentral:rRNA from 1 species